rnacentral:rRNA from 1 species
UACGAAGGGGGCUAGCGUUGUUCGGAAUUACUGGGCGUAAAGCGCGCGCAGGCGGUUCUUCAAGUCAGAGGUGAAAGCCCCAGAGCUCAACUCUGGAAUGGCCUUUGAGACUAGAGAACUAGGGUACGGGAGAGGUGAGUGGAAUUCCGAGUGUAGAGGUGAAAUUCGUAGAUAUUCGGAAGAACACCAGUGGCGAAGGCGGCUCACUGGCCCGUUACCGACGCUCAGGCGCGACAGCGUGGGGAGCAAACAGG